GCGUGUGUGAAGAAGGCUUUCGGGUUGUAAAGCACUUUCAGUGGGGAAGAAGGCCUGGCGGUUAAUACCCGUCAGGGACGACAUCACCCACAGAAGAAGCACCGGCUAACUCCGUGCCAGCAGCCGCGGUAAUACGGAGGGUGCGAGCGUUAAUCGGAAUUACUGGGCGUAAAGCGCGCGUAGGCGGCUUGAUAAGCCGGGUGUGAAAGCCCUGGGCUCAACCUGGGAACGGCAUCCGGAACUGUCAAGCUAGAGUGCAGGAGAGGAAGGUAGAAUUCCCGGUGUAGCGGUGAAAUGCGUAGAGAUCGGGAGGAAUACCAGUGGCGAAGGCGGCCUUCUGGACUGACACUGACGCUGAGGUGCGAAAGCGUGGGUAGCAAACAGGAUUAGAUACCCUGGUAGUCCACGCCGUAAACGAUGUCGACUAGCCGUUGGGCUCCUCGCGAGCUUAGUGGCGCAGUUAACGCGAUAAGUCGACCGCCUGGGGAGUACGGCCGCAAGGUUAAAACUCAAAUGAAUUGACGGGGGCCCGCACAAGCGGUGGAGCAUGUGGUUUAAUUCGAUGCAACGCGAAGAACCUUACCUACCCUUGACAUCCUCGGAAUCCGCCGGAGACGGUGGAGUGCCUUCGGGAACCGAGUGACAGGUGCUGCAUGGCUGUCGUCAGCUCGUGUUGUGAAAUGUUGGGUUAAGUCCCGUAACGAGCGCAACCCUUGUCCCUAUUUGCCAGCGAUUCGGUCGGGAACUCUAGGGAGACUGCCGGUGACAAACCGGAGGAAGGUGGGGACGACGUCAAGUCAUCAUGGCCCU
rnacentral:rRNA from 1 species